AUGAACGCUGGCGGCGUGCUUAACACAUGCAAGUCGAACGAUGAAGCCCAGCUUGCUGGGUGGAUUAGUGGCGAACGGGUGAGUAACACGUGAGUAACCUGCCCUUAACUCUGGGAUAAGCCUGGGAAACUGGGUCUAAUGCCGGAUAGGAGCGUCCACCGCAUGGUGGGUGUUGGAAAGAUUUAUCGGUUUUGGAUGGACUCGCGGCCUAUCAGCUUGUUGGUGAGGUAAUGGCUCACCAAGGCGACGACGGGUAGCCGGCCUGAGAGGGUGACCGGCCACACUGGGACUGAGACACGGCCCAGACUCCUACGGGAGGCAGCAGUGGGGAAUAUUGCACAAUGGGCGCAAGCCUGAUGCAGCGACGCCGCGUGAGGGAUGACGGCCUUCGGGUUGUAAACCUCUUUCAGUAGGGAAGAAGCGAAAGUGACGGUACCUGCAGAAGAAGCACCGGCUAACUACGUG
rnacentral:rRNA from 1 species